CCUACGGGAGGCAGCAGUGAGGCAUAUUGGUCAAUGGACGAGAGUCUGAACCAGCCAAGUAGCGUGAAGGAUGACUGCCCUAUGGGUUGUAAACUUCUUUUAUAUGGGAAUAAAACGUUCCACGUGUGGGAUUUUGUAUGUACCAUAUGAAUAAGGAUCGGCUAACUCCGUGCCAGCAGCCGCGGUAAUACGGAGGAUCCGAGCGUUAUCCGGAUUUAUUGGGUUUAAAGGGAGCGUAGGUGGAUUGUUAAGUCAGUUGUGAAAGUUUGCGGCUCAACCGGAAAAUUGCAGUUGAAACUGGCAGUCUUGAGUACAGUAGAGGUGGGCGGAAUUCGUGGUGUAGCGGUGAAAUGCUUAGAUAUCACGAAGAACUCCGAUUGCGAAGGCAGUUCACUGGACUGCAACUGACACUGAGGCUCGAAAGUGUGGGUAUCAAACAGGAUUAGAUACCCCUGUAGUC
rnacentral:rRNA from 1 species